ACUGCAUCUGCAUAUGCUGGUGGUUGAUGCUCACAGGUUUUCAACUAUUUGAUUUCACUGAAUUUGAAGAAAGAUCGUUUAGUUGACUUAUUCUUGCCCCAUGUAUUCAUGCCUGCGACCAUCUGAUCCUGCCUGUGAUUGCUGUUCAUGAGGUUGGCUUGUAUUUUUUUUUUAAUUCAGUUAGACAUAGCCGGUCACCGGUGCACUGAUGGUCCAGGUCAUCCUUCAGUGAGCGGCUAAGCACGGUGGUGCUGCAGGAUGAUGUCCCUGACAAGUAAACUGCAAAACGAAGGCCCAGUAUUAUUUUUAGGGAAAACCAGGCCCAGUAUAUGCAGCGGUGAAGGCCCAGUAUUGACCAAAGCCCAGCAAAUAAAUGAGUCAAAACGGGCUGAUAAGGCAUAGUAUCUACUGAGUGGGCUGGCUACGAUUUUAAUGUGUGUCUCUUUUUUUUCCUUCAAAUUGUUAAAGAGCAAAUUCUGCGUCCUGCC
rnacentral:lncRNA from 1 species